rnacentral:rRNA from 1 species
AGAGUUUGAUCAUGGCUCAGAUUGAACGCUGGCGGCAUGCUUUACACAUGCAAGUCGAACGGCAGCACAGGGGGCUUGCUCCCGGGUGGCGAGUGGCGCACGGGUGAGUAAUACAUCGGAACGUGUCCUGUUGUGGGGGAUAACUGCUCGAAAGGGUGGCUAAUACCGCAUGACACCUGAGGGUGAAAGCGGGGAUCGCAAGACCUCGCGCAAUUGGAGCGGCCGAUGCCGAUUAGCUAGUUGGUGAGGUAAAGGCUACACCAAGGCGACGAUCGGUAGCUGGUCUGAGAGGACGACCAGCCACACUGGGACUGAGACACGGCCCAGACUCCGUACGGGAGGCA